AYGUUGGCAGCAUGCAGAAUAAAACUGGAAUGAUACACAGAAGAUCAGCAUGGUCCCUACACAAGGGUGACAUGAAAGUUCGUGAAGCAGUCCAUAUUUUU
rnacentral:snRNA from 1 species